rnacentral:rRNA from 1 species
UUCCGGUUGAUCCUGCCAGACCUGACUGCUAUCGGAUUGAUACUAAGCCAUGCGAGUCUUUGUAGUAAUACAAGGCAUACGGCUCAGUAACGCGUAGUCAACCUACCCUAUGGACGAGAAUAAUCUCGGGAAACUGAGCAUAAUUCUUGAUAGAUCAUAAUGCCUGGAAUGGUUUAUGGUUAAAAUGAUUCGUCGCCAUAGGAUGGGACUGCGGCCUAUCAGCUUGUUGGUGAGGUAAUGGCCCACCAAGGCGAUUACAGGUACGGGCUCUGAGAGGAGAAGCCCGGAGAUGGGUACUGAGACACGGACCCAGGCCCUAUGGGGCGCAGCAGGCGAGAAAACUUUGCAAUGUGCGAAAGCACGACAAGGUUAAUCCGAGUGAUUUCUGCUAAAGAAAUCUUUUGCAAGUCAUAAAACCACUAGUGAAUAAGGGGUGGGCAAGUUCUGGUGUCAGCCGCCGCGGUAAAACCAGCACCUCAAGUGGUCAGGAUGAUUAUUGGGCCUAAAGCAUCCGUAGCCGGCUCUGUAAGUUUUCGGUUAAAUCCACGUGCUCAACGCAUGGGCUGCCGAAAAUACUGCAUAGCUAGGGAGUGGGAGAGGUAGACGGUACUCGGUAGGAAGGGGUAAAAUCCUUUGAUCUAUCGAUGACCACCUGUGGCGAAGGCGGUCUACCAGAACACGUUCGACGGUGAGGGAUGAAAGCUGGGGGAGCAAACCGGAUUAGAUACCCGGGUAGUCCCAGCUGUAAACGAUGCAGACUCGAUGAUGCAUUGGCAUAUAGCCAGUGCAGUGUCGCAGGGAAGCCGUUAAGUCUGCCGCCUGGGAAGUACGUACGCAAGUAUGAAACUUAA